rnacentral:rRNA from 1 species
GACGAACGCUGGCGGCGUGCUUAACACAUGCAAGUCGAACGGAGCGAAUGAAAGCUUGCUUUUAUGAGCUUAGUGGCAAACGGGUGAGUAACACGUAGACAACCUGCCGAUCAGAUGGGGACAACAUUCCGAAAGGAAUGCUAAUACCGAAUGAAGUGUGGGGGAGGCAUCUUCCCUACAUGAAAGAUGGCCUCUAUAUAUAAGCUAUCACUGAUCGAUGGGUCUGCGUCUGAUUAGCUAGUAGGUAAGGUAACGGCUUACCUAGGCGACGAUCAGUAGCCGGUCUGAGAGGAUGAACGGCCACAUUGGGACUGAGACACGGCCCAGACUCCUACGGGAGGCAGCAGUGGGGAAUCUUCCGCAAUGGGCGCAAGCCUGGCGGAGCAACGCCGCGUGAGUGAAGAAGGUCUUCGGAUCGUAAAGCUCUGUUGAAGGGGACGAACGUAUAUAGUGCGAAUAGUGCUGU